GAUUUCUGACAUUAAUGCGUUUGGCCCGCCACGGUUACGUGUGUGAGUGCCGAGUCGUGUUUGUCAUCCUUCUAGAAAAUGAUGAUUUGCUCUUCAUUGAGUAUAAUCAUUCACAAUCUAGAUCUUUUACUUUGAAAAAAUUAGAGUGUUUAAAGCAGGCAUUUUGCUAUGAAUACAUUAGCAUGGAAUAAUAAUUUAGGACUUUGGUUCUAUUUUGUUGGUUUCUAGAACUGAAGUAAUGAUUGAUAGGGAUGGUUGGGGGUGCUCGUAUUCAGUGGCCAGAGGUGAAAUUCUCGGAUUCACUGAAGACGAACUUAUGCGAAAGCAUU
rnacentral:rRNA from 1 species